CCUACGGGAGGCAGCAGUGGGGAAUAUUGCACAAUGGGGGAAACCCUGAUGCAGCGAUGCCGCGUGGAUGAAGAAGGUUUUCGGAUUGUAAACUCCUUUUAUCAGGGACGAUAAUGACGGUACCUGAAUAAAAAGCUCCGGCUAACUACGUGCCAGCAGCCGCGGUAAUACGUAGGGAGCAAGCGUUGUCCGGAAUUACUGGGUGUAAAGGGAGCGUAGGCGGGACGGCAAGUCAGAUGUGAAAACGGGGGGCUCAACCUUCAGACUGCUUUUGAAACUGCUGUUCUUGAGUGCAGUAGAGGUAAGUGGAAUUCCUAGUGUAGCGGUGAAAUGCGUAGAUAUUAGGAGGAACAUCAGUGGCGAAGGCGGCUUACUGGGCUUUUACUGACGCUGAGGCUCGAAAGCGUGGGGAGCAAACAGGAUUAGAUACCCCAGUAGUC
rnacentral:rRNA from 1 species